rfam:Botryotinia fuckeliana T4 unplaced genomic scaffold Contig_12897_V3__V4, whole genome shotgun sequence.
UUAUAUGAUGAAUAUCCAGAUAGGGACAGCUUAUGUUAAGUUUCAAAAAGGAACUUGAUGUGUGAUGUGAACUGGACGAAUAUUUUAGUAGAUGCUUCGUGUUUUCUGAAA